rnacentral:tRNA from 1 species
GUGCGCGCGGUGACGACGGCGUGUCACGGCUGACUGUAACUCAGUUGCCCUGCGGCUCAGGGGGUUCGAAUCCCUCCGCGCACACCA